GGGGAUGUGGUGAAAUUGGUAGACACGCAGCGUUCAGAGCGCUGUGGACGCGAGUCCGUGAGAGUUCAAAUCUCUCCAUCCCCACCA
rnacentral:tRNA from 1 species